rnacentral:lncRNA from 1 species
ACAAGUUGUCUAUAAGUCGUACAUGCCAUAAUAGAUGCAUUUAGAGCUUAUAACCCUACACCCCGGUGUUAAUGCUCUCCCUCGAGGACAGGGUUUAGCCUUCACGUGAUCGUUCACCUCCUGCACCACACUCUCACCUUUGAUUCAAGGUAGGUGCCAGCCUGUCGUACAUACCACAUUAGGUGGUUCCGACUCGUAGGUGACUUGCGAUACUUCGCACAGCCUUCAUGUGAUCGUAACACUUGAGCUUAAUUAUUUACACCUAGCCUGUCGUACAGACCACUAAAGGUGGUUUCGACUCGUGUGUAAAGAUAUGUGAUGAGCUAUGGGUUCAGCCGUACAGGCCAAAAGAGGUGGAUCCGGCUGACAUAUUACCGGGAUAUUGAUUGAUGAGAUAUGGGUAAGUCGUAUAAGUCACUAUAGGUGACUCUGACUUAUGUGCUAGCAUUGAUUGAUGAGAUAUGGGUAAGUCGUACAGGUCACUAUAGGUGACUCCGACUUAUAUGCUAGCAUUGAUUGAUGAGAUAUGGGUAAGUCGUACAGGUCACUAUAGGUGACUCCGACUUAUGUGCUAGCAUUGAUUGAUGAGUUAUGAGUGCGGUUGUACAGGUCACAUCAGGUGAUUCCUACUUGCAUGCUAAUAUAGAUUAUUGAGUACAUGAUUAUUUAUAUUGCUGAUGGGAUGCGGUGUCGUGGUAUAUUUAUGGAAUUACUAUUGAUAUACUUUUGAUUUCACAUGGAUACGUGGUAUGAUUUUCUGGAAACUAUACAGGUAUUGCAGUGAGGGGUUAUAACAUUCUAGAAGGUUUCUAUUAAAAUUUUAUUUCCAGGGCCGCUCACCCUUGUUUUGUUUUCACCUUUCAGGUUUUAUUAGCUAAGCUUUCUUAUCAUCGAGGAUUCGUGGCAAAUCUUAGUAUUGGAGAUUUCUUUCGAGAGUAUGAUUCUUAAUCCGCUCUACUGUACUUACUUAUGCUCUAACGUCACGUGUGAAGUGGGUUCAUUCCCGCUCACCAACGCACUCUGGUUUUUAGGCACUCUUAGGUUUAAAUUUAUUCACUUUUUUCCACAUCAUCAUACUUUAUGGCUUCGUCACCUUCCAGGUGUUGGCCAACACAGCUCGAUUUGGAGUCCUAGUGGACAUCCCGGGUCGAGGUGUGUCAAUAAGGGCUUGGGCUAAGGUUAUUUUAACCAAUCAUGCUAUAACUUUAUUUAAUGAAAAGAAAUUAAAUAUUAAUAAAAAAAACCCUUAAAUUUUAAUUAAAAUGAAAAAUGAAAUUAAAUUUUAAUGAAAAUGACACAAUUUUAAUAUAUAAAAUAUUAAAAGAAAAACCUAACGCGCGGGACAGACACUGUUUAUGAAACUGAACACUAUUUAUAAAACUGAAAUACUAUUUAUGAAACUAAACAUUAUUUAUGAAAUUGAACGGCACUACACUAUUUAUUGGUCCAGUUUCAUAAAUAGUGCCCAGUUCUUGGUCAUGUUUCAUAAAUAAUGCCUAGUUAUUGGGUCCAGUUUUAUAAAUAGUGUAUAGUAAUUGGUACAGUUUCAUAAAUAGUGUCUCUUUCUUGGUCUUAUUUCAUAAUAGUGUCUAGUUAUUGGUCUGCUUUCAUAAAUAGUGCCUAGUUCUUGGUUAUGUUUCAUAAAUAAUGUCUAGUUCUUGGUCUAGUUUCAUAAAUAGCGUAUAGUCCAGUUUCAUAAAUAGUUUCCAUCUAUUGGUUUAGUUUUAAAAAUAGUGCGAAAUUCUUUGGUUUCGUUUUAUAAAUAGUGUCUACCUAUUGGUCUAGUUUCAUAAAUAGUGUCUACUUAUUGGUCCAGUUUCAUAAACAGUGUCUACUUAUUGCUCAAGUUUUAUAAAUAGUGUCUAAUUUUUGGUUCAUUUUCAUAAGGUUUGAAACUUAUAUCCUUUUUGGUCCUGUAAAAGUACCCAUUAUGCCGAAAACAAUGAACCAGAAGUGAUCCUUUAGAUCAAAACCUUGAGAAGAUUAUGUCCUCAUUAAUUAUAUUUAAAAAAGUUGUUUUCAAUGACCAAAUUAAAAUUCCCUCACAUUUUUUCACAUACCUACAAUAAUUAAAUGUUGCUCUCCAUCCAAUUUCUUUAGCUUGGGUGUCAUGUUGGAGAAAUUUUUCCUUAUGCCUGUAACAUAAGUGGUACAACACGUGUUAUUAUGUAAAUGGUGGGAAAUUUUAUUUUUUAUGUUAUUAAGUUUUUAAUGUAAAAAUCUCACCACUUGUAUAGAGACACAUGGUGUACCACCCCGUGUUCCGGGCAUAUUGAAAAAUCUCUCGUCACCUUGACUACUAUUGGGAAACAACACCACAAAAAUAAAACUUGGAAAUGUAUUC